UCGCCUGGGCGCAGCCUGAUCCAGCAAUGCCGCGUGAGUGAAGAAGGCCUUCGGGUUGUAAAGCUCUUUUGUCAGGGAAGAAACGGCUCAGGCUAAUAUCCGGGGCUAAUGACGGUACCUGAAGAAUAAGCACCGGCUAACUACGUGCCAGCAGCCGCGGUAAUACGUAGGGUGCAAGCGUUAAUCGGAAUUACUGGGCGUAAAGCGUGCGCAGGCGGUUUUGUAAGUCUGACGUGAAAUCCCCGGGCUCAACCUGGGAAUUGCGUUGGAGACUGCAAGGCUUGAAUCUGGCAGAGGGGGGUAGAAUUCCACGUGUAGCAGUGAAAUGCGUAGAGAUGUGGAGGAACACCGAUGGCGAAGGCAGCCCCCUGGGUCAAGAUUGACGCUCAUGCACGAAAGCGUGGGGAGCAAACAGGAUUAGAUACCCUGGUAGUCCACGCCCUAAACGAUGUCUACUAGUUGUCGGGUUUUAAUUAACUUGGUAACGCAGCUAACGCGUGAAGUAGACCGCCUGGGGAGUACGGUCGCAAGAUUAAAACUCAAAUGAAAUUGACGGA
rnacentral:rRNA from 1 species